GCCGCCGCCCGCCGCCGUCUCCACCGCGACGGUCGCCGCAACUACACCCCUGGCUCCGUCCCCGUCUCCGCUCCCGCGAGUCGGCACAGCCAACGCCUACAUCAACCCUCGCCUCGCGGCCGCCGCAGGCGGCGGCGGAGACAACGCCUACAUCAACCCUCGCCUCGCGGCCGUCGCAGGUGGCGCCGGGGACAACGCCUACAUCAACCCUCGCCUUGCGGCCGCCGUAGGCGGCGGCGGGGACGACGCGCGCAAGGUGCUCGAC
rnacentral:lncRNA from 1 species